rnacentral:lncRNA from 1 species
AAUGAUCGUAAGUAGUAAGGAAAAUCAACGAAAAAUGAUGGGAAUUUCGAUCGAGUAAGAACUGUACCGAAUAUAGCAGAGGAAACAACCACGCCCCUGCACUGGUCCAUUGCAUCUAGAUCAGCCUCCGCGAUAUCGUAUCCAGUAUUCCGGCCAGCUCUUGUACCUUUGACGAACCCACAGUGCACACUCAUCGACUCUCGAAUGUCAUACGAAUCGGUUCUCUGAGCCACUGUAGGAUAUCCCCCGAAGUCCGAGCCUCCGAAUUCCCCAUAUUUAGUCAACGGAUUCUCAGUUAUGUAACUCAAAUCCUUUAAGACAGGGGAAAAUGAGGGAAACUUCGGCAUCAAGGCAAUGGCUUCCUCCACAGGCAGG